rnacentral:rRNA from 1 species
AUUUUUGCCGAAUUCCUUUUAUUUAAUUUUUUAUUUAUUUUAAUAUUUUUAUUUUUAAAUAUACUAAUUUUAUCAUUAUAACUAAUAUUUUAUAAUUAAAUAUUUUUUUUUUAUAUAAAUUUAAAUUAUUAUUAAAUUUUAAAAAUAAUAAAAUUAUUUAUAAAAAAUAAUAAUUUUUAAAAAAUUUAAAUUUUAAAAAUUUUAAGUUUAAUUUACAUAUAAUUAUAAAAAUUUAAUUUAAAGCUUAUCCCUUAAAAUAUUUAAUUAAAUUUAUUAUUUAUUAAUAAAUUAAUAAAUAAAAAUAAUUAAUUUAAAAUUAAAUUUUUUUCUAAAAAAACUAGAUAUAUUUAAAAACGAUUAACAUUUCAUUUCAAAUUAAUUAUUUAAAAUAAUUAUAUAACAUUAACUUUAUUAAUUAAUUAUCUCUUUUAAAUUCGAGAUAUUUUUUUCUUAAAAUAUUAUUUAAUAAACUCUGAUACACAAGAUACAAUAAAUAAAAUUUACUUUUAAAUUAAUUUAUUUUCAAAAUUUUUCAAAAUUCUUUUACAAUACUAAUUCACUAUAAAUAUAAAAAUUUUUUCUAAAAAAUACUUUAACCCCCAUUAAAUAUCCCUUAAAAUUAUUUUUAUUAUUUAUUUUAUUUUAAUUUACCCCUA